AUGGCUCGAACAAAGAUCACAGCUCGUCAGUCCACCGGAGGGAAGGCUCCCACGAAGCAGCUUAGGGCUUUCUAUGCUGCCGCUCGCAAGACUGCUCCCGCAGCCGGAGGAGUCAAGAAGCCUCGUCCAUACCGCCCUGGAACUAUUGCCCUACGUGAAAUACGCAAGUAUCAGAAAGGAACUGAACUGCUCAUAAGGAAGAUGCCCUUUCAUAGGCUUGUCCGGGAGAUUGCUCAGUCUUCCAAGAGUGACCUACGUUUCCAGAGCCGUGCGGUUCUAGCUCUGCAAGAGGCGGCGGAAGCGUACCUAGUGGGUCUGUUUGAGGACACCAAUCUAUGUGUUGUCCAUGCCAAGCGUGUGACCAUCAUGUCUAAAAACAUUCAACUGGCUAGGAGGAUCCGUGGUGAAAGAAUGUAA
rnacentral:rRNA from 1 species